UAGUGGAAGUUUUCAUGUACACUUGCUUGC
rnacentral:piRNA from 1 species